CGUUCUCUGCCGUGAACGACAGCGUGUGCAAACAUAUCGCCUUGUCCCUUAAAUACGACCACGGGAGCGUGACGGAACCGGGGGUGCAUGUCCGCCUUGGCAGCGGGAAGCCCGAUGGUUCAACAGCGUUCCCACUUGAACCUCGGGUUCAAGGUCGUUUCGCACGCAUCGCCACGGCGGAGGAUGC
rnacentral:other from 1 species